rnacentral:rRNA from 1 species
GAUGAACGCUGGCGGCGUGCCUAAUACAUGCAUGUAGAACGCUGAAGGAGGAGCUUGCUCUUUCCGGAUGAGUUGCGAACGGGUGAGUAACGCGUAGGUAACCUGCCUGGUAGCGGGGGAUAACUAUUGGAAACGAUAGCUAAUACCGCAUAACAGUAGAUAUUGCAUGAUAUUUGCUUGAAAGGGGCAAUUGCUCCACUACCAGAUGGACCUGCGUUGUAUUAGCUAGUUGGUGAGGUAACGGCUCACCAAGGCGACGAUACAUAGCCGACCUGAGAGGGUGAUCGGCCACACUGGGACUGAGACACAGCCCAGACUCCUACGGGAGGCAGCAGUAGGGAAUCUUCGGCAAUGGACGGAAGUCUGACCGAGCAACGCCGCGUGAGUGAAGAAGGUUUUCGGAUCGUAAAGCUCUGUUGUAAGAGAAGAACGAGUGUGAGAGUGGAAAGUUCACACUGUGACGGUAUCUUACCAGAAAGGGACGGCUAACUACGUG